AAUGCAGUCGAGCGAACAGACGAGGAGCUUGCUCCUUUGACGUUAGCGGCGGACGGGUGAGUAACACGUAGGUAACCUACCUAUAAGACUGGGAUAACUUCGGGAAACCGGAGCUAAUACCGGAUAAUAUUUCGAACCGCAUGGUUCGAUAGUGAAAGAUGGCUUUGCUAUCACUUAUAGAUGGACCUGCGCCGUAUUAGCUAGUUGGUAAGGUAACGGCUUACCAAGGCAACGAUACGUAGCCGACCUGAGAGGGUGAUCGGCCACACUGGAACUGAGACACGGUCCAGACUCCUACGGGAGGCAGCAGUAGGGAAUCUUCCGCAAUGGGCGAAAGCCUGACGGAGCAACGCCGCGUGAGUGAUGAAGGUCUUCGGAUCGUAAAACUCUGUUAUUAGGGAAGAACAAACGUGUAAGUAACUGUGCACGUCUUGACGGUACCUAAUCAGAAAGCCACGGCUAACUACGUGCCAGCAGCCGCGGUAAUACGUAGGUGGCAAGCGUUAUCCGGAAUUAUUGGGCGUAAAGCGCGCGUAGGCGGUUUUUUAAGUCUGAUGUGAAAGCCCACGGCUCAACCGUGGAGGGUCAUUGGAAACUGGAAAACUUGAGUGCAGAAGAGGAAAGUGGAAUUCCAUGUGUAGCGGUGAAAUGCGCAGAGAUAUGGAGGAACACCAGUGGCGAAGGCGACUUUCUGGUCUGUAACUGACGCUGAUGUGCGAAAGCGUGGGGAUCAAACAGGAUUAGAUACCCUGGUAGUCCACGCCGUAAAACGAUGAGUGCUAAGUGUUUAGGGGGGUUUCCGCCCCUUAGUGCUGCAGCUAACGCAUUAGCACUCCGCCUGGGGAGUACGACCGCAAGG
rnacentral:rRNA from 1 species